UUCGAGGGUCAAGUCACACUCAGGUACUGGCUGUGGCCUUGGUGGGCCAGAGUCCUUGAAGGGUAACUGUUGACCUUAUUGACUGUGAACUUGCUGACAGUCAGUCACCAGGGCAGUGACAUGC